CCGGCUCCUCCCCCCGCCGCCCUGCGCGCAUAAAGCCCGGCGCGCGCCCGGGCGCCCGCGGAGGCGGCGGCGCUGGGAUCCCCCUCCCGCGGGGCUCCUGGGCGUCCUGGGGGCGAGCGGGCGGGCGGGCGAGCGAGCGAGCGAGCUCCCCCUGAUUCCCGGUGCGGGCCCGGGCCUGGGGCGCGGCCGCACCCCUCACCCACAGCGGCGCGGGGGCCCGGCCGCGGGAACGCCCUCCCGGGAUGAAGCGCUUCCCGAGUCCUAACUCCCUCCAGUCUGCUUUGGAAGAACCUGAACUGCCUGCCUACCCACCGAGUUUGGAGUUAACUUCCCUUCAGUAACUCAUUCGCCUCUAUGAAGCCGAACUCCUUCCCUUCCUC